rnacentral:rRNA from 1 species
UACGGAGGGUGCGAGCGUUGUCCGGAAUCACUGGGCGUAAAGGGCGCGUAGGCGGCAAUUCAAGUCAUCUGUGAAAUCUCUGGGCUUAACCCAGAACGGCCAGGUGAUACUGCUUUGCUAGAGUGCGGAAGGGGCAAUCGGAAUUCUUGGUGUAGCGGUGAAAUGCGUAGAUAUCAAGAGGAACACCUGAGGUGAAGACGGGUUGCUGGGCCGACACUGACGCUGACAGCGCGAAAGCCAGGGGAGCAAACGGG